UACGAAGGGGGCUAGCGUUGCUCGGAAUCACUGGGCGUAAAGCGCACGUAGGCGGCUUUGUAAGUUAGAGGUGAAAGCCCGGGGCUCAACUCCGGAAUUGCCUUUAAGACUGCAUCGCUUGAAUCCAGGAGAGGUGAGUGGAAUUCCGAGUGUAGAGGUGAAAUUCGUAGAUAUUCGGAAGAACACCAGUGGCGAAGGCGGCUCACUGGACUGGUAUUGACGCUGAGGUGCGAAAGCGUGGGGAGCAAACAGG
rnacentral:rRNA from 1 species